rnacentral:ribozyme from 1 species
UCUCUCUCUUUUUGGUCUCUUUCUCUUUUCUCUUUCUUUCUUUCUGUCUUUCUUUUUCCCUCCUCUCUUUUCGUUUCUUUUCUUUUCUUUUUCCUCUUCCUCUUCCUCUUCUUCCUGUCUGAUC